GACCAAAGGGGGCGAGCGCAAGCGGCUCUCGCUGAGGGAUGGGCCUGCGGCUGAUUAGCUAGUUGGUGGGGUAACGGCCUACCAAGGCAACGAUCAGUAGCCGACCUGAGAGGGUGACCGGCCACACUGGGACUGAGACACGGCCCAGACUCCUACGGGAGGCAGCAGUGGGGAAUAUUGCGCAAUGGGCGAAAGCCUGACGCAGCGACGCCGCGUGGGUGACGAAGGCCUUCGGGUCGUAAAGCCCUGUCGGGUGGAACGAAUCUCUCGCGGGCGAAUACCUCGCGGGAUUGACGGUACCACCGAAGGAAGCCCCGGCUAACUACGUGCCAGCAGCCGCGGUAAUACGUAGGGGGCGAGCGUUGUUCGGAUUUACUGGGCGUAAAGAGCGCGUAGGCGGUUCGAUCAGUCGGAGGUGAAAGCCCUCGGCUCAACCGAGGAUCCGCGUCCGAUACUGUCGAACUUGAGUGCAGGAGAGGAGAGCGGAAUUCCCAGUGUAGCGGUGAAAUGCGUAGAUAUUGGGAGGAACACCGGUGGCGAAGGCGGCUCUCUGGACUGCUACUGACGCUGAGGCGCGAAAGCUAGGGGAGCAAACGGGAUUAGAUACCCCGGUAGUCCUAGCCGUAAACGAUGGGCACUAGGUGUGGGAGGUAUCGACCCCUUCUGUGCCGCAGCUAACGCAUUAAGUGCCCCGCCUGGGGAGUACG
rnacentral:rRNA from 1 species